rnacentral:rRNA from 1 species
GACGAACGCUGGCGGCGUGCUUAACACAUGCAAGUCGAGCGGAGCGGCGAACGGGGGAGUAACGCGUGAGUAACUGCCCCCCUCUCCGGGAUAACAGUUGGAAACGGCUGCUAAUACCGGAUAGUGGGGGAUGACUCGCGUCCUAUCAGCGUGUUGGUGGGGUAGUGGCCUACCAAGGCGACGACGGGUAGCCGGCCUGAGACGGCGACCGGCCACAUUGGGCUGGGGUACUGGCGAAAGUCCUACGGGAGGCAGCAGUGGGGAAUAGUGCACGAGGGGGGAAACCAGGAUGCAGGAACGUCGCGUGCUGGAGGACGGCUUUCGGGUUGUAAACCGCUUUCAGCGAUGACUCGGUAGUGGAAGAGGAAGCACCGGCUAACUACGUGCCAGCAGCCGCGGUAAUAC